GCAGUCGAACGCUUCUUUUCCCACCGGAGCUUGCUCCACCGGGAAAAGAGGAGUGGCGAACGGGUGAGUAACACGUGGGUAACCUGCCCAUCAGAAGGGGAUAACACUUGGAAACAGGUGCUAAUACCGUAUAACAAUCGAAACCGCAUGGUUUCGUUUUGAAAGGCGCUUUACGGUGCCGCUGAUGGAUGGACCCGCGGUGCAUUAGCUAGUUGGUGAGGUAACGGCUCACCAAGGCCACGAUGCAUAGCCGACCUGAGAGGGUGAUCGGCCACAUUGGGACUGAGACACGGCCCAAACUCCUACGGGAGGCAGCAGUAGGGAAUCUUCGGCAAUGGACGAAAGUCUGACCGAGCAACGCCGCGUGAGUGAAGAAGGUUUUCGGAUCGUAAAACUCUGUUGUUAGAGAAGAACAAGGGUGAGAGUAACUGUUCACCCCUUGACGGUAUCUAACCAGAAAGCCACGGCUAACUACGUGCCAGCAGCCGCGGUAAUACGUAGGUGGCAAGCGUUGUCCGGAUUUAUUGGGCGUAAAGCGAGCGCAAGCGGUUUCUUAAGUCUGAUGUGAAAGCCCCCGGCUCAACCGGGGAGGGUCAUUGGAAACUGGGAGACUUGAGUGCAGAAGAGGAGAGUGGAAUUCCAUGUGUAGCGGUGAAAUGCGUAGAUAUAUGGAGGAACACCAGUGGCGAAGGCGGCUCUCUGGUCUGUAACUGACGCUGAGGCUCGAAAGCGUGGGGAGCAAACAGGAUUAGAUACCCUGGUAGUCCACGCCGUAAACGAUGAGUGCUAAGUGUUGGAGGGUUUCCGCCCUUCAGUGCUGCAGCUAACGCAUUAAGCACUCCGCCUGGGGAGUACGACCGCAAGGUUGAAACUCAAAGGAAUUGACGGGGGCCCGCACAAGCGGUGGAGCAUGUGGUUUAAUUCGAAGCAACGCGAAGAACCUUACCAGGUCUUGACAUCCUUUGACCACUCUAGAGAUAGAGCUUCCCCUUCGGGGGCAAAGUGACAGGUGGUGCAUGGUUGUCGUCAGCUCGUGUCGUGAGAUGUUGGGUUAAGUCCCGCAACGAGCGCAACCCUUAUUGUUAGUUGCCAUCAUUUAGUUGGGCACUCUAGCAAGACUGCCGGUGACAAACCGGAGGAAGGUGGGGAUGACGUCAAAUCAUCAUGCCCCUUAUGACCUGGGCUACACACGUGCUACAAUGGGAAGUACAACGAGUCGCGAAGUCGCGAGGAUAAGCUAAUCUCUUAAAGCUUCUCUCAGUUCGGAUUGUAGGCUGCAACUCGCCUACAUGAAGCCGGAAUCGCUAGUAAUCGCGGAUCAGCACGCCGCGGUGAAUACGUUCCCGGGCCUUGUACACACCGCCAGUCACACCACGAGAGUUUGUAACACCCGAAGUCGGUGAGGUA
rnacentral:rRNA from 1 species